rnacentral:lncRNA from 1 species
CAUUAUAGGCGUAGUUUGAGUGGUAGGUAUAAUGUUGAUCCCACAAAAAGUUGGUGUAGCUUGUCAUUUUGUCACGGUAAAAAAAAAAAAAUUGGGGGUGGACUUUUUUUGUGAAAGGUAAAUGAGUUUUAUUAAGGUAAGAAAAGUACCAACAAUACCACUCUUUUCAAACUGGAGAAGUUACAGAAUCUGCACACAGCACCAACCCAACCAAAAUACAAUAAAAAACACCCCUUCAGACUAGACUAGUUACAGAACCAACAAACAUCGCCA